rnacentral:rRNA from 1 species
AUUGAACGCUGGCGGAAUGCUUUACACAUGCAAGUCGAACGGCAGCACGGGAGCUUGCUCCUGGUGGCGAGUGGCGAACGGGUGAGUAACAUAUCGGAACGUACCCAGUCGUGGGGGGAUAACUCUCCGAAAGGAGAGCUAAUACCGCAUACGUCCUGAGGGAGAAAGCGGGGGGACCUGCAAGGGCCUCGCGCGAUUGGAGCGGCCGAUAUCGGAUUAGCUAGUUGGUGAGGUAAAGGCUCACCAAGGCGACGAUCCGUAGCGGGUCUGAGAGGACGACCCGCCACACUGGAACUGAGACACGGUCCAGACUCCUACGGGAGGCAGCAGUGGGGAAUUUUGGACAAUGGGGGCAACCCUGAUCCAGCCAUUCCGCGUGAGUGAAGAA